rnacentral:tRNA from 1 species
AGGUGUUUAGUCUAACAAAAAUACUUGAUUUCGGCUCAAGAGCUUGUGGUGAGAAUCCACAAUCACCUG